rnacentral:rRNA from 1 species
AACUAAUAGUAAGAUGGAGAAGAGAUAAUGCAACAAAAAUCUUAGAUGGGGCAGUGAAGUCCAUUGCGCAUUCUGAUUUUUUGUAGCUCCGGACAUCAGUUGUAUUGAGACAUGGAUGGCUCUACACCUGAAGUACAUAUAUCUGACAAGCAUGAUCACAUGUUCCCUUUAGAGUCUGAUGGUCGAUGGAGAGGCGAAGCGAAAGACGGUUAGGAAGCGCAAGAGAAGUGGCAAAGACAGUAGGUCCAUGUGUAUUUAACAGCAAGUCCAUGUAUUACUACAUGAGAAGUACUGCUAGUGAGACUUCACUGCCCCAUUUCAACAAACUUGUAUACGCAAUCCUAGUUUGACAAAGUACUCUACUGCCGCUGGUUUCAGUUCCCUCACUGGAUUUGCAGGCUCACGACCAUCCUCCAACACCCCGUCAGUGCCACUGAUUUGAAGGACCUCGGUGAGCGUGUACUUCUCCUGCACCAGAGAGGUUUGGACAGACGCUGAUCACUAGCUCUCUAUGACGCCACCGAUCACUAGAACGAAGAACACCAGCAGGAUGAGAAUGAAGUACAUGACAUAGACAAUGAGGACGACCAAAACAUGGAAUCCGUACACAUAGCACCAACUGCAAAUUCGAACUUUCUGUCUAUGAUGAUUUGAUUGCUACUUCUUAAAGAAAGUGUACAUAACAGUUAGAUGUUUGUGCUAGAAAGGAAAACUUGUUUGAAUUAAAAACAUUGACCAGUACGAAUCAAAAACAUUGAUCAGUUUGAUAGUGCUCUCUCCUACCUAUCUUGGUUGAUGCCACGAAUAGUGAAAAAAAUUGUAUGGG